rnacentral:rRNA from 1 species
AUUGAACGCUGGCGGCAUGCCUUACACAUGCAAGUCGAACGGCAGCACGGGUGCUUGCACCUGGUGGCGAGUGGCGAACGGGUGAGUAAUACAUCGGAACAUGUCCUGUAGUGGGGGAUAGCCCGGCGAAAGCCGGAUUAAUACCGCAUACGAUCUACGGAUGAAAGCGGGGGCCCUUCGGGCCUCGCGCUAUAGGGUUGGCCGAUGGCUGAUUAGCUAGUUGGUGGGGUAAAGGCCUACCAAGGCGACGAUCAGUAGCGGGUCUGAGAGGACGACCAGCCACACUGGGACUGAGACACGGCCCAGACUCCUACGGGAGGCAGCAGUGGGGAAUUUUGGACAAUGGGCGAAAGCCUGAUCCAGCAAUGCCGCGUGUGUGAAGAAGGCCUUCGGGUUGUAAAGCACUUUUGUCCGGAAAGAAAUCCUUGGCCCUAAUACGGUCGGGGGAUGACGGUACCGGAAGAAUAAGCACCGGCUAACUACGUG